rnacentral:rRNA from 1 species
CAUAACCUGGUUGAUCCUGCCAGUAGUCAUAUGCUUGUCUCAAAGAUUAAGCCAUGCAUGUCUAAGUAUAAGCUUUUGUACGGCGAAACUGCGAAUGGCUCAUUAAAACAGUUACAGUUUAUUUGGUGAUCGCUCACUACAUGGAUACCCGUGGUAAUUCUAGAGCUAAUACAUGCGUCAAGACCCGACUUCUCG